rnacentral:lncRNA from 1 species
GAUUUCCCAAUGUCCAAAUACACACAAAAAAAGUCGUAUAAAAAGUACAACAUAGAGAGGGUGUUAAAGAAUACAAGAAAACGUAAUAAUAGUUGUACUCUGUUUUUAGCUAAGAUCGAAGUACAAGAAUUUGCAAACACAAAGAGUAGUACAACUGGUGAAUUCUCCCGUUGUACAUCACAAAACAGGGUUCCAAAAUCUAUUUAAACCCGGUGACAAAAACACCAAACACAAAGAAAGAAACUCAAAGGAAAUGGCCAAGUUCAAAGGGUAAGCCGUAACCCUUUCUUUAAUCAUCGGUCUUGCAAAUGAAAGAAGAAGACAAAAUGGUAACGAGACAGACAGGGAACAAGCAGAGCAUGGAUUGAGUUUACUAAAACAUCAAACGACUGUGUUUUGUCUCUUCCCAUGCACUGCCUCUUCCCUGGCUCCCUCUUUCUCUCUUCUCUCUUUUUCUCCUUCAAUUUUUCACAUCUUUUCUUUCAAUGGAUUUUAUUUCUACUGCUAACGCCCUUGUGACACCUAAGGGCUUUGCUCUAUGUUCAUCAAGUGGAGCUGAAUGAAGCAAUGGCAUCCAUUUCUUGGCGCAAGAGAAGGGCAUCGAUGAAGGAGUCCAGAUUCUCUCCCUGCAUCAUAUCUUCAAUGGCGUGGUGAGUGAUUCCCACACGGUGAUCUGUCACACGCCCUUGUGGGAAGUUGUACGUACGGAUACGUCCGGAUCGGUCUCCACUGCCAAUCUGUUAACGGGAUUUACACAUUUAUCAGCUCAGCUAGAAAAUGAUGUAAGAAAAAUUGAAAACAUAAGAUAAAACAAAAUUUGUUAUUUACAUAUGUAAGGUACCUGUUCUGACCGUAGCUUUGAUCGACUGCUCUGUAAUCUCAACCUUUCGAUCUCGUAGAGCUUUGCACAGAGUACUUUAAGUGCUUUGGCUUUGUUCUG